UCACGAUAAGGGCAAACCCUGAGCGAUCAGGGGACGCAAAGGACAGGGUCUUGUAAGCGGUUUAAACCGCUUAAACCGUUCAAACGGCUUUGAAAAAGACAGCCUUACUGCCAAA
rnacentral:ncRNA from 1 species